UACGGAGGGGCUAGCGUUGUUCGGAAUUACUGGGCGUAAAGCGCACGUAGGCGGCUUUGUAAGUUAGGAGGUAGAAAGCCCGGGGCCUCAACCCCGGAACUGCCUUUGAUACUGGGUAUCUAGAGUCCAGAAGGAGGUGAAGUGGAAUUCCGAGUGUAGGAGGUGAAAUUCGUAGGUAUUCGGAGGAACACCAGUGGCGAAGGCGGCUCACUGGUCUGGUACUGACGCUGAGGUGCGAAAGCGUGGGGAGCAAACAGGG
rnacentral:rRNA from 1 species